GAUGAACGCUGGCGGCGUGCCUAAUACAUGCAAGUCGAGCGAACGGACGAGAAGCUUGCUUCUCUGAUGUUAGCGGCGGACGGGUGAGUAACACGUGGAUAACCUACCUAUAAGACUGGGAUAACUUCGGGAAACCGGAGCUAAUACCGGAUAAUAUUUUGAACCGCAUGGUUCAAAAGUGAAAGACGGUCUUGCUGUCACUUAUAGAUGGAUCCGCGCUGCAUUAGCUAGUUGGUAAGGUAACGGCUUACCAAGGCAACGAUGCAUAGCCGACCUGAGAGGGUGAUCGGCCACACUGGAAGUGAGACACGGUCCAGACUCCUACGGGAGGCAGCAGUAGGGAAUCUUCCGCAGUGGGCGAAAGCCUGACGGAGCAACGGCGCGUGAGUUAUGGAGGUCUUCGGAUCGUAAAACUCUGUUAUUAGGGAAGAACAUAUGUGUAAGUAACUGUGCACAGCGUGACGGUACCGAAUCAGAAAGCCACGGCUAACUACGUG
rnacentral:rRNA from 1 species